rnacentral:rRNA from 1 species
GACGAACGCUGGCGGCGUGCUUAACACAUGCAAGUCGAACGGAAAGGCCCUGCUUUUGUGGGGUGCUCGAGUGGCGAACGGGUGAGUAACAAGUGAGUAACCUGCCCUUGACUUUGGGAUAACUUCAGGAAACUGGGGCUAAUACCGGAUAGGAGCUCCUGCUGCAUGGUGGGGGUUGGAAAGUUUCGGCGGUUGGGGAUGGACUCGCGGCUUAUCAGCUUGUUGGUGGGGUAGUGGCUUACCAAGGCUUUGACGGGUAGCCGGCCUGAGAGGGUGACCGGCCACAUUGGGACUGAGAUGCGGCCCAGACUCCUACGGGAGGCAGCAGUGGGGAAUAUUGCACAAUGGGCGGAAGCCUGAUGCAGCAACGCCGCGUGCGGGAUGACGGCCUUCGGGUUGUAAACCGCUUUCGCCUGUGACGAAGCGUGAGUGACGGUAAUGGGUAAAGAAGCACCGGCUAACUACGUG